CUCGCCGCUGGACGGAAGCGGUCCCGAGGGUUGGGGAGCCCGAUGACGGACCGCCGACGAGAGCCGGCUCGGGUCUAAGGGAGCCCGGGUCCUCGCUCCGGCGAAGAAG
rnacentral:sRNA from 12 species